UUCUUAUUGAGCUUAAUAAUAAGUAUAACCUGCUCCAUGAUAUAUUAAAUAGCCGCAGAAAUUUAACUGUGCUAAGGUAGCAUAAUCAUUAGCCUUUUAAUUAAAGGCCUGUAUGAAUGGUAUAACAUUUCAAUUACUUUACUGGAUAAAUUUAUUUAACUUAAAUUAAGAAUAAAAAUGUUCUUAUUAUUAAAAAAGACGAUAAGACCCUUUUGAACUUUACUACUGUUUAGCUGGGGCAGCUAAAAAAAUAUUAUCUUUUUUGUGGUAUUUACAUAUAUGACCCAAUUUAAUUGAGUGCGAGAAUAAGUUACCAUAGGGAUAACAGCGUAAUAUUUUUUAAAAGUUCUUAUUUAAAAAAAAGAUUGCGACCUCGAUGUUGAAUUAAUGUCACCUUAUACGACGCAGUAGUCUUAAAGGUUAGUCUGUUCGACUAUUAAAACAUUACAU
rnacentral:rRNA from 1 species